UACGUAGGGGGCUAGCGUUGUCCGGAAUCAUUGGGCGUAAAGAGCGCGUAGGCGGCUAGAUAAGUCCGGUGUGAAAGUCACAGGCUCAACCUGUGAAUGCCGCUGGAAACUGUCUGGCUAGAGUCCGGAAGGGGCGAGUGGAAUUCCUGGUGUAGCGGUGAAAUGCGCAGAUAUCAGGAGGAACACCAAUUGCGAAGGCAGCUCGCUGGGACGUAACUGACGCUGAGACGCGAAAGCGUGGGGAGCAAACAGG
rnacentral:rRNA from 1 species